AAACUAAACUCUAUGUGGAAUA
rnacentral:snRNA from 1 species